CUGUCCUGGAACUCACUUUGUAGACCAGGCUGGCCUCGAACUCAAAAAUCCGCCUGCCUCUGCCUCCCGAGUGCUGGGAUUAAAGGCGUGUGCCACCACGCCCGGCUUAAAAUAAUUUUUUUAAAGGUUUAUGUAUAUGAGUACACUGUAGAUAUACAGAUGGUUGUGAGCCUUCAUGUGAUUGCUGGGAAUUGAACUCAGGACCUCUACUCACUCCGGCCCUGCUUGCUCUGGCCCAAAUAUUUAUUUAUUGUUAUAUGUAAAUGUACUGUAGCUGUCUUCAGACACACCAGAAGAGAGCGUCAGAUAUCAUUACAGAUGAGUGUGCGCCACCAUGUAGUUGCUGGGAUUUGAACUCAGGACCUUCAGAAGAACAAUCAGUACUCUUAAGCGCUGAGCCAUCUCACCAGCCCCAUAACAAAACCUUCCUCCCUCCUGUUUUCUGCUCCUAUGUUGUGAGAACUUGAAGAAAGGCAGGAGAGCUUGGGGGGGGGGGGCACGCCUUUAAUCCCAGCACUGGGGAGGCAGAGGCAGGUGGAUUUCUGAGUUCGAGGCCAGCCUGGUCUACAAAGUGAGUUCCAGGACAGCCAGGGCUACACAGAGAAACCCUGUCUCGGGAAAAAAAAAAGAAAAGAAAAGAAAAGAGAGAAAGAAAGAAAGGAGAGAGGAUAAAGAGUGAAAGAUGAAGCUUGGCCAUCAGACUUCUCAGAAGUACUGAGUUCAAAGAGCAUUUCAGCUGAGACAUCCAUAACCAAGAGCAGAGGGACUAGAGACUGCUUCUGGAAGCUCGGUGAACAGAGGACCAGGACCCUCCCCUGCCUGCCGCUGGCGCUCAGUUCUCCUGCCCCCUGACUACAGUCCCUUAUUUCCCUGUUUACCCUGCUCCCUGCCCCUCCCCUCAGUUUGCUGGCUGUCUCUCACCCUUUGCUACCCCACUUCACUUCCUUCCCCCCUAGCAGAGCAUUAAUGUAUAGAUUUCACACCCGUCCUAUUUCUCAGCUACGGCUUCGUGUGUUAUUAAUAGCACCAAUAGAUGAGUUGUGCUCUCAGCCUUCCCCCUCCCCCUAAGAAGAUCCCGGCAUAUGUAAUUGUUUUACUUCAUGGCUUUUAAUUGAUUUUUCUUCCCAGGGAUCCUCAGCCUUGCAUAGAAAAGCUCCUUGUUCUCUGAACCAGGGGAACUGGGCAGCACCCUGAGCAGGUCCUCGCCUGGCCAUCACCUGUACUGCCUGCAUCCUCUCCCCUGUCCACUGCACCAGCCUGAAACCUAGGGACAAGCCUUUGUCCCCUGUGUGGAGAACUCUCAUUAAGUCCCUCCUUCUUCCCUUAAGACUGGACCUGAGUUCCCUUUUUUCAAAUACAUCUUUUGGGGUGCAGACGCCGGCAGAAUGACACUUUCCUGGGUCUCCUCGGGCCGCGGAUUCUGGAAUCCCGGAACUGGAUUCUGUCCAAUGUGCUGAGCUUUAGGGGCUGAAGCAAGGCGUCGACUGCCUUGGUGUAUUUUCUGGAGCACACACACACUCAUGGUUUCCUGAGCCAUUCCUAACUAGGGCAUGAUGCCCUGUAUUCCUGCCUUCCCCGGCUCCCUCCUCGCUGCCAGGCACAGUUCCCUAGGAUAGUCCCUUCUCUCACUGGAACAAUCAGAAAACACCUUCUCCACCAGCACUGGGCAGCCCCAGCCUCCCAGUCCCAGUUCCUCAAAAUAUCCUUGAGCUUGCUAGGUACUUUCUUCGGGCUCUAGUCUGCUGCACAGAGCAGCCCUGUUAUUGAUAGUGACAGCCUGGGAUGAGAGUGUGCCCAGCUACCAGCAGCAUACGGAUGCUGAGCCAGGUGCACGGCUACCGUAGGAGCCCGUCUUCUCAACCGCGCCUCAGGAACCAGCUUGCAUAGGAGCAGGCCCUGCUUGCCACUUCCUGCUUUAAACGGAGCCUGUAAUACUGAGGUUGCUUUAAGAGAACAAGCCCUCUGUGUUCAACCACAUUGCUGCUUGGCUUUGAAAGGCUCUGCAAACGGCAGGAUCCCGUCCAGGAAGUCCUCAGCAGGGCGGGUCCUGGCUUACCAGGAAGUCCUCAGCAGGGCGGGUCCUGGCUUACUGAUGUCACUGUCCCGAUGGAUGGCAGAUUUACGGACUCAAAUUGUGGGCAAAGGCUCAGCUCUGCCUCCUCUGGGACUAGAAGUUCAGUUCUCUACUAGUUGUGAAAGCGGUCAGGGCUGCUUUGGAGUGGGCUGGCUGUCCAGGAAGCUGAUACGGAGGCCAGCUCUGGAGAAGUCAAUGAGGCAGAUAUGGCAGGCUGUGACCAGGUAGUUCUCCUUGUUGGCUCUCUCAUGUCUGUCUUUAAAUUGACCAACCAUAAAGUUUGUAGUAAAGAUGGGGAGCCAACUGGGACAAAGAACAGAUGGUGAAAAGGAAAUUGACACAGGCAAAAAAACCAGCUCAGCAGCCCGGGCUUGCGGGGCUUGGGGGGCUUGGGGAAUUUCCGGACUUUCCCAUCUGCCUGCGACCAGAAAUGUAGCAGAAGACCCAGGCUGGGGCAGGAGGCUUAGUCAGGCUUUCUGAACACUGGGCCACGGUAAGGAAAAGGCUCGGUCGGUUGGCUUCCCAGGGCCUCUAUCCCUCAGCUGACAAGUUCUCGGCUUCCUUCCCUGUUAGGGGAACCUUUUCUUUUCAUUGUGUAAAGGUAUGUCUCCGUGUUUUUCGGUUGUUAUUUCUGUACCUAUAGACAGCCAAGUGCCGGCAGGAUCCUGGUAUUGUCAUUUCAAUGGCCCACCACUGGAUUUUCUACUUUAUAAAUAUUCGUCCUUCCUCAUCGGCCUAAGGCAAUCUAGAGUUGCAUCACUCACUGCUGCUGAUCAGUUGUAAGAAGGAGCAGGAAGGAGGAGGGUGGGGAAGAAGGCAGAAGCGGGCGAAUCCAGAGCGGACAUGGAGGGAACCCACACUGACCGCAGCAGAGCAGAGGAAGGAAUAGAGCUAGCCGCGUGCCGGGGCAUCACCUUAGGUUCACUGGUAACUGAAGAGUGUCCUAGGGGCUGGCGUGAUGGCUCAGCGGGUAAGAGCACUGACUGCUCUUCUGAAGGUCCUGAGUUCAAAUCCCAGCAACCAUAUGGUGGCUCACAACCACCCAUUAUUGAGAUCUGACACCCUCUUCUGGUGCAUCUGAAGACAGCUACAGUGUACGAAUAUAUAAUAAUAAAUAAAUCUUUAAAAAAAAAAAAAGAAGAAGAGUGUCCUAGCUAAAGACCCACGCUUUAAACAGUUAUUUAUGCCACUGGCAGGUCGCAGAAAGUUCUGCUCUUCUUCCCCAUCUGCCCCCUCAGCGCUUCUUAGGUUGUUAGCUGGAAAGAAAGGAUAGGGACUGACCUCAGCCUCCAGUGGCAGGUGAGCACGGAGGAGUUUGGCUGGG
rnacentral:lncRNA from 1 species